AGAGUUUGAUUAUGGCUCAGGAUGAACGCUGGCGGCGUGCUUAACACAUGCAAGUCGAACGGGAUCCAUCAGGCUUUGCUUGGUGGUGAGAGUGGCGAACGGGUGAGUAAUGCGUGACCGACCUGCCCCAUACACCGGAAUAGCUCCUGGAAACGGGUGGUAAUGCCGGAUGCUCCAGUUGAUCGCAUGGUCUUCUGGGAAAGCUUUCGCGGUAUGGGAUGGGGUCGCGUCCUAUCAGCUUGACGGCGGGGUAACGGCCCACCGUGGCUUCGACGGGUAGCCGGCCUGAGAGGGCGACCGGCCACAUUGGGACUGAGAUACGGCCCAG
rnacentral:rRNA from 1 species